GCUCAGAUUGAACGCUGGCGGCAGGCCUAACACAUGCAAGUCGAGCGGUAGCACAGAGAGCUUGCUCUCGGGUGACGAGCGGCGGACGGGUGAGUAAUGUCUGGGAAACUGCCUGAUGGAGGGGGAUAACUACUGGAAACGGUAGCUAAUACCGCAUAACGUCGCAAGACCAAAGUGGGGGACCUUCGGGCCUCAUGCCAUCAGAUGUGCCCAGAUGGGAUUAGCUAGUAGGUGGGGUAACGGCUCACCUAGGCGACGAUCCCUAGCUGGUCUGAGAGGAUGACCAGCCACACUGGAACUGAGACACGGUCCAGACUCCUACGGGAGGCAGCAGUGGGGAAUAUUGCACAAUGGGCGCAAGCCUGAUGCAGCCAUGCCGCGUGUGUGAAGAAGGCCUUCGGGUUGUAAAGCACUUUCAGCGGGGAGGAAGGCGAUAAGGUUAAUAACCUUGUCGAUUGACGUUACCCGCAGAAGAAGCACCGGCUAACUCCGUGCCAGCAGCCGCGGUAAUACGGAGGGUGCAAGCGUUAAUCGGAAUUACUGGGCGUAAAGCGCACGCAGGCGGUCUGUCAAGUCGGAUGUGAAAUCCCCGGGCUCAACCUGGGAACUGCAUUCGAAACUGGCAGGCUAGAGUCUUGUAGAGGGGGGUAGAAUUCCAGGUGUAGCGGUGAAAUGCGUAGAGAUCUGGAGGAAUACCGGUGGCGAAGGCGGCCCCCUGGACAAAGACUGACGCUCAGGUGCGAAAGCGUGGGGAGCAAACAGGAUUAGAUACCCUGGUAGUCCACGCCGUAAACGAUGUCGAUUUGGAGGUUGUGCCCUUGAGGCGUGGCUUCCGGAGCUAACGCGUUAAAUCGACCGCCUGGGGAGUACGGCCGCAAGGUUAAAACUCAAAUGAAUUGACGGGGGCCCGCACAAGCGGUGGAGCAUGUGGUUUAAUUCGAUGCAACGCGAAGAACCUUACCUGGUCUUGACAUCCACAGAACUUACCAGAGAUGCUUUGGUGCCUUCGGGAACUGUGAGACAGGUGCUGCAUGGCUGUCGUCAGCUCGUGUUGUGAAAUGUUGGGUUAAGUCCCGCAACGAGCGCAACCCUUAUCCUUUGUUGCCAGCGGUUAGGCCGGGAACUCAAAGGAGACUGCCAGUGAUAAACUGGAGGAAGGUGGGGAUGACGUCAAGUCAUCAUGGCCCUUACGACCAGGGCUACACACGUGCUACAAUGGCAUAUACAAAGAGAAGCGACCUCGCGAGAGCAAGCGGACCUCAUAAAGUAUGUCGUAGUCCGGAUUGGAGUCUGCAACUCGACUCCAUGAAGUCGGAAUCGCUAGUAAUCGUAGAUCAGAAUGCUACGGUGAAUACGUUCCCGGGCCUUGUACACACCGCCCGUCACACCAUGGGAGUGGGUUGCAAAAGAAGUAGGUAGCUUAACCUUCGGGAGGGCGCUUACCACUUUGUGAUUCAUGACUGGGGUGAAGUCGUAACAAGGUAGCCGUACGG
rnacentral:rRNA from 1 species